GUAAAACCAACAUGGUACUUUAGGGGCUAAGCUUGGUGUCACUAUGCAGAAAGAUGAAAGCAGGGAGAAGAAAUCUAAUCAGGAGCACUUUGGAUGGUAGGAUAACCUCUGCCAGAGAAAUAUGACUGCCUGGGUCCCUUUAUCGCAAGCAGGCAGAUGUUUGGGGUUAUUCUGGCCUAGGGCAUUCCACUCAGAUCAUCUGUCUUGGGAUCAGUCCUUUCCAGGGUGACAUCAGAAGAGAGACUCUUCUGGUUGGUUGGAUAUCAGAUACAUUCAGUAUCAGAGUCUGUUACUGAUGCUUCAUAUUUGCUUCUCUACCAGUUUUCAUGCUCUUUAGUUCUUAUGAGUUUCCUGGAUUUGAUGGUUGUCUCUGACAAUUAGACAAUGAUUUUUGCUCCAUUUCCUCCACUCUACCAGAUUUUCCACGUUCUUUUCUUGGACUUUGUGUUCCCAGGUUUGGGCUAUAUGAAGUCUCUGAGUCUUCCUCAUUCUAUUUACUUACUUGGUCUUCAUAUGGUUUCCCUGAUUUUUACAUUGUAUAUGUUCCCUUUUUCUUUAGUCCUGUUCUUUGCUCCAACAACCUUAAUUUGUUGUUACCCAGUAGUCAAUACUUCAUAGAUAUGGAAGCCAACUCUAGGCAAAAGACGACUACACAUAGUUUGCCUUUGACAUUGUUCAUACUUCUCAUCCUAUAAUCUUUAACCAUACCUUUCAAACCCAACCAUCUCUCACUAUUGGUCCAGUUAAAAAUCUAACCCUAGUGUCCCAAUUCUGAACCUCAUGCACCCUCCACAAACCUUGGUAUACUAACAAGUCAUCUGCAUGGUAGCCUCUGCACCUUCCUCAUGCCUUUUCAUGUGCUUCAAAACCGGCUUCAAAAUCCUUGAGGACCCAUUGCAGCUAAUAACAUUGUCAUUGUCUCAUAGACACAGAUUCUAUAUUCUAUCAAUAUAGAAUCAAAAACUGAACUCAAUAUUUUAGAUAGAUCAUCUCAUCAAUUUCUUGUAAAUUCUUUGGGAGUUUUAAAGGUAAUAAGUCACAUGCCAAAGUCAUGCAGUUAAUAUGUUAAGGUUUAAAUCCAUGUUUGGUGUGAUCAUCAUGCCUGUGAUUUUUAUCACUUCUAUGCCGAUUCCAGGGAGGAAGAGAGACAUCAUAGAAUAGAUAGAAGUUUGAAAUCUUUGUUAAAUAUCCACCUCUCUGUAACUUAUCCUGUCUAAUCAAAAACAAAGCUCCUGUAGUUUUUAUAUGUUUUAUUCCUUUAAAAUUUAUUGUUUCUCUGUUUUAUUUCCACUGUCAACUGUCUCAUCCUUGAUUUUGGCCAUUGCUAACUCAUUCUAUGCCAUUUUACUUUCUUUUCAUUAGCCAUCCUAAAUAUUCUCAGAACAUUUAGGACCUAAUGUUAUCUAAUGUUUUCAGUUCCUGGUGACUGUACACAUCCACACAUCCACUCUCUUCACACACACACAAACACACACACACAUAUACACACACACACACACAGACACACACACCUCUUCACCACCUCCUAAAAUACUCCAUAAUUUGCAUGGCCAAGACAUCAAAUUCCCACUGUGUCUCUGGAUUUGGUUAAAAAUUUACUCUCAUGAAGUAGCAUAAUAUUGUAGAAGGAGAGAAACAUGGACAUAGAUUUUAGUUUUUGCAAUGUUGUUAAUAAACUGUAUUACCUUGGAAAAGCCAUUCAACCUGUGUAGACCUUCUGUUGAAGGGUUGUAAUUCUAAUACAUGACUAUGUCCUUUAAUAAUGGGUAAUGACACACUUUAUUACUUACCUUUCCGACCCCUCAGGAAUUAUACCACACAGAGUUACAGCAAAGGGCUUGUUUCUGCAUAUUCAAACCCAUCACCCAAACAAGGGUCUCAAAGUGCCACUUAGAAAGUCUAUAAAACAGCAUAUGUGAAGCAACUGGCACUGUUGCCAUCACACAUAAGUCUCUCUUGGAAUAUUAGUUAACUUCCCCUCAAUUCUUCCUCAUACCUUGUUUCACAAUGUCAAAUGGUGAUGCAAUCUACAUUUGCAACAGAAAGUUAACUAAUGUUCUAUCCAAUUAAGACAUUGUCUGCUAGCACUUUGACCCUUAGAAUGAAGGCUGUAGACCAGUAUCAGCAUCACCUGAGAACCUGUUAUGAGUGCCAAAGCUCAGUGCCCGACCUAAGCCUACUGAAUCCGAAUCUGCAUUUUUACAAAUCCCUAAGCGAUUCAUGUACACAUUAAAAGUUGAAAGACACUAGACUUGAACUCAAUACAUUAAAAUGUGCUGCUCAUGUAGAGAUAGAUCUUUCUAAGUCUAUCAUUCCAGAGACACCCAUUUGGCCUUGUCUUCUGUCUCCAGACUGAAGGAGAGGCUUUAAAACAGACUAUGCUUUAUUAAUUCCUCAUCUACAUUGCAACUUUGUGUGUAGUGAUCUUUGCUGAUACCUUUGGACUUCAAGUAAAGGUUCUCUUGAACAACUUCUCUAAUUCUGAACAAUUUAAUUUGUUACAUCUGUGUCCAAACAAACACAGAGGAAAUUAGAUCUAUCAAGUUAGGGGAGUCUAUAAAACUGAACUACUGUAAGAUUGUCAUUGUUCAGCAAUAUUACAACUAAACUAGCCUUAAGAGGCCCUUCUUUCAUUUUUAUCUACUAUAGAAUCCAUAGAAUAGUCAGACUCAUGAUUGAUAGGUGCAAAUGGCCGUCUAAUGAUGCCAGAAAAAGCAGUUUUGUAAUUUUCUUUCCAGCCUAUGUGGAAAAAUAAAAAAUGUAAUGACUCUCAUAGCCAGCACAAAGGGCACAAGAAAAAAAAUGAGAAGAUUCUCCAAAUCGAAAAUAUCAAUUCAUGAAUGUACUGAGAACUGAUUUACACUGGGUAUAGACAUUUUUGAAGUGCCUGAAAGACAAAUAGCUGUUUUGCAACUCUGAAACACACCUCUACCAGAUGUUCACUGGAGACAUUUUGCCAGUUAAGAUCUAGUCUGUGUCAGGAACUAUAGUGUCUAUAGAGAUAAAAAAAAGACAUACCCCCUGUUUUCAGAGGGUUCACAAUCCUGUUGAAUAAAUCAUAAGAUAACCACAGUAUAAGUCGAGUCAUGUCACUCAUCUCCUAAAUGAUGUCCGUCAGUUCUACAUCAAGUCAUGUCAACUCUCCUCUGAAAGCUCUCUAAUGCCUCACCUUUUUACUGAGAGUAAAGUUCAAAGCCCUGGUAGUGCCUACAAAGCAAUGCCUACAAGGGUGCUGUAUGACCUGAUCUUUCAUAUCCCUAACCAGCCUCUCUUUUUCCAAUCUUAUUUCCUAGUACUCUCCCUUCCACCCCUUCACUGUUUCUACUCUAGCUUACACAUUAUAUGAUACUGCCUCCUCUAGGAGUUUGUAUUUGCUCUUCCCUUGUCUGGAACUCCCUUAUUCCUUCUUUUUCAGUUUUUCAAAUGUCCGUUUAAACAUCACCUUAUCAGACAGAUCUUUUUAAUGAGCCAUAUAAAAUAGCAAUCUCCACCUCUCUUACCUGCUUUAUUUUCUCCACAGCAGUUACCACUACCUGACAUCUGUUUGUGUUUAUUGUCUUUCUUUCUCAACUAGAAUGUAAGUUCUGUGAAACCAGAGAUCUUCGGUUUAUUCACUCUUGUAUCUCCAACAUCUAGAAUGGUGCCUGUACCUGGUUGGUGCUCAAUAAAUACUUGCAGAAUGAAUAAGUUAAUUGACAGACAGAAGCUCAGUGUGCUGACUAUAAUUCAAUAUGGAGUCUAUAAGAGGUACUGAUUCAAUGCAAAGACAUGGAAUCAACCCAAGUGCCCAUCAAUGAUAGACCAGAUAAAGAAAAUGUGGUACAUAUACACCAUGGAAUACUAUGAAGCCAUAAAAAGGAAUGAGAUCAUGUCAUUUGCAGGGACAUGAAUGGAGCUGGAAGCCAUUAUCCUCAUCAAACUAAUGCAGGAACAGAAAACCCAACACUGCAUGUUCUCACUAUAAGUGGGGGCCGAACAAAGAGAACUCAUGAACACAUGUUAGGGAACAACACACAGAGGCCUGUUGUGGGCGAGGAGGGAAAGCAUUAGGAAAAUAUGCUAAUUCAUGCUGGGCUUAAUACAGAAGUGAUGGUUUGAUAGGUGCAGCAAAUCACCAUGGCACAUUUUUACCUAUGUAACAAACCUGCACGUCAUGCACAUGUACCCUGGAACUUAAAAUAACUUCUUUUUUUUAAAAAAAGGUGCUGAUUGACUCCUUGAGGUCUUCCAUUAUUUUUCUUGAAUUGGCUUUUUGAUCACAAUAUAAUUCACAAAGAGGGAACUUUGAGGGAUAGAAGAGCCAUAUGGCAUUUUUCCAAUAGAGGAUGAGAAGAAGGAAAGUGGGUUGGUGAGUUUCACCCUCAGAAGAAAGAGUAGAAAGCCAAAGUUCUCAUCUUCAGAAAGUCAAGGAAAGAGGCCACUUCUUUAGGGACUUUACACGAUUUUAAUCUUCUUCAUUUAAAAUAAAUUGUUGUUUUUCUCCCUCUGUUCAUGGUGAUAUGCAAUAAAACUCUUAAUACCAAAACACAAUGAUGUCAUCUUUUUUAGAGAAUUCAAGAGUGGAGAGUGGGGAGGAGAAGAGGAUAUUAUAUCUGAUGCUAACAUUAGUCUUGGGGACAGAAAAAAAUCCAAGGGAGUGAAUAUAUGGGCUCCCCGAAGCCCAGUGGCAGGUUUUAAUGGGCUAUAAGACACUCGUCUAAGCCUGCUAUUGAUUUGUGUUUAUAAUCUAUCAGGUAUACACUCAUACUUGAACAUUGUCACUUUGGGCACUAUGUAAAUAGAUACUAUUUCCAUCCUUUGGAACUUAUAAUUCUAUGACAGCAAGUUGGUACAGCCUCUGAGCUAGAGACCAAAGUUGGAGAUUAACUACCAGCGCUGACCUAGAGAAUCCAUGACCAAUAUUUUUAAAUAAUGGGUUUUUACAGCAAAAUCUUUCUUAAACUAGUAACUUCAACUAACACUAAUGGACUGAUGUUUUUUAAUUGCCUUUGACUAUAGUAAUAAGCUCUCGGGUGGUGUGAUAAAGCAAAAAAGAAAUAAAGGACAGGGUGCCAGCUUUCAAGAGUUUAUUUUAAUCUUUCUGGAGAGAUAAGAUGUGUAACAAAACUGCAAGAAAGUGACAAAACAACAUAUAGCAAAUUCUGUGAGUCUGGCUGGAAAUUCUACUAAUUUUAUGGGCUCAAAGAGUUUGUGAAAGUGCCAUGGUUGUUUUUGACCCAUUUGCUGCAGUUUUGUCUUCAUUCUCCAGUGCUUUUUUCUUUGCCUUUAGAAUUUCCAUGGCAAAAAAGUUUGUGCAAACUCAAUAUAUUCUACCAGGCAAAAUUGUGGGCAAAAGCAAUAUUCUCUAGAUUAUUUACCUGAUUUACUCAUUCAGAUAAUACAGAUUUAUAGACCCUAAUUCUUGUUUUAAACAAACAUUAUUAUAUACUUGAAGCAAAUACUCAAGCUAUGUUUUCCCCUCAAACAAAUAUCUUAAAUCUCAAAACACUAUGGCAUAGGGUAAAGCUCCCAAUAUUGGAAAAAACAAAAGAGAUUUUUAUACCACUUAUUACCACGCAACUAUUGACAUGGCAUUCUAGAUAUUUAAACUUCAGUUUUUUCAUCAGAAUAAUGGAAAUAACAAUUCCUGCCAUACUAACUCCAAGGUGAUUCGAGAACCUAAUGAGAUAAUAUGCAUGACAAAACUUGAUAAAGAAAAAACAGCAUAAAAUAAAUUUGAAAGUAAAACAGAAUAUAUACUUUGCAAUUAUAAAUAUGGCAUGUUGAUUCUAAAUGAUCUAGACCAUUCACAAAAGUACCUACUUGAUGUGUUUUUCCAAAAAAAAGUUUUAUAAUGAUUACAAUAGUUGUAUAAAAAUAAAGGCACAUAAGACCUCAAUAAUUAUUGGCAGUAUCUCAUGGCUCAAGAACCAUUUCAUGAAAUAUACACAAUACAGAUUGGCCAGAUUGAAAUAUUUCAAUGGUUAAAUAAAAGAUGAUAGCAUGACUCAAACCUGAGGAGGCGUACCUGAUAAAUGCUGUGGCACUUAAGUACGUUAUGUCAAGGAAAAACUGGUCAAGGAGAAACUGCCUUUGAGCUUGAAGGAGACAUCGGUUCUACAUAAAAGCUUUCAGGGCUGCAUUUUCUGAACAACAGAGGCCUUAAAAGGGCCCUCAGAAAGAUGAGUCAUGCACCCACCGCUAAAGCUGGAUGCAUCAGCUGGCAUUCAGAACUAGGAACAAAGUAUUUGCAAGUUUAAGCACUCUUCUUAAUAGUGUUCCAGUAAAUAGCAUCUUGCUUUUACCUGUAUAUAGCCAUGUGACUUAUUUUUAAAAUCUAUUGUUUUGUGCUCUUUAGAUUAAGUAUUCCAUCCUGGACAACAGUGAACAUUUUGUAACGGCAUGAAAUUUCAAAAGCAAAAGGCAAAUGUCAUCUAAACCAGGCUCCCCUACUGCCAAAGAAGACCAGGGUUUAGCUACCUUGGGGUGCCUAACUUGUGUGUUAUCUUAUGCAGGGAAAAAGACCCCGCUGGCCUUUGUUAAUAUCUUUGUGAUGAUUCAGCUCAACAGCUAGGAAAGCUUUGUGAAGGUUUAACGCAGACCCUAGAUCUUUCCUUUCCUCUUGCUCCUUUUAAUAUGCUACAGGAAGCACUAUUCACAGCUGUGAAAACUUCAGUACUCUAACUGACCCUACCCAGUCUCCUCUUAGGUAAGUACUCACAUUUUCCAGGCAGUGCAAAAACACGAGGCAGAGUCAGACACAGGAGGUACCCAGUGAAAGUAAUGCUUCCAGUGAGGCCCUGUUUCCAAACUCCUUAAUUACUCUUUUCUUAUUUUCCUUGAAUUAUCUAAAAUCAAUAUUAAUGAUUCAUUUUCCAAAACUACAUAAAGCAAGGAUGAACACUAAUGCUGGUGAUCCUAGAUAAUCUAUUUAACUACAUAAGCAUUUCUUUCUUUUUCUGUAAAAAUGGCUGCUCAUAAUAUCUCUUCAUCAUUCACAGAUUUUAUGUGCAAAAAUAACCUCUCCCUAUCCAUAGGAGUAUACUGACAACUCCACAUUUUAUGAUAUGUGAGCCUCACAAUAAUCCCUUCAGGCUGACAGAGUCGUUAUUCCAAUCUCCAGUGAAUAGGUGGGAAUUUCCAAUAUUUUCAUCUCUAAUUUCCUUUCCAGUUCUGAUCGACUGCAGUGCAGUUUAAUAGUAGAAGAGAAGCUAAGAUUGGUGAACUAGCUUCACAUGAACCUCCAAAACAGUCUCCCAAGCUCCUCUAAAUCAUUUGGCUUCCAGAGUAAACAACGGAAAUAUUUUAAGAGUAAAGCUCUCUUGAGAGAUCAGAAUUUGCAGUAGAUCUGUGACUUAGAAGAUACAUACCAGCUGACUCUCAGAUACUGUAGAAGAUGGUGAGGAGAGAUUUGCCUGCAAAACAUAAACAUGGCAUUUAUUAGUGAAACUCAUAAUUUAUUAAAAUAUGUAUGUGUUUAAGUAUUUUGAAGUUUGUUUAUUAUUAUAUGUCCAUGAUAGGAUUUUGAAAAGUAUAAAGAAAAGGAAAAAUAUCCUUAUGCCACCAAAGAAAUGAUUUUUAAUAUUUUUGGUACAUAGCCAUAAAUAUUUUUCCUAUGUAUUUUUAUUCAGCCUACAUAAUAGUGAAUAUGAUGUUUAUAUGCUGCUUUUCUUUCUCAUUUUCUUAACAUAAGCAUUAUAUCAUGACAUCAAAACUUCUUCAAGGUUACCUAACAUUUCAUUCUUUGUAUUCUUCACAUUUUAAUCAAACAUACCAGCAUCGUUGCUAUUUCUAUUUAUUUAAAGCAAAUUGAAACAAAUAACAGAUAUUUCUUUAAAGUAUUGUUAUAUAAAAAGAAAAGCAUAACAAAGUUUUUAUGAUUUGAGAAUAAAAAUGACUUGGUUUUUAGAAUUGUUUAAAUUAAAGAGCAGAUUAAUAUUGUUUGUCAUUGGCUCCUAUAUUUCAACCCUUUCAUCUGGAUUUAGUUUCUUUCAUUUUUAAAAAUGUUAUUGUCGUAAGAACAUUUAACAUGAAAUCUGUAAUUUGAACAUGUUUGUAAGUGCAUAAUACAGUAUUGUUGGCUAUAGGUGCAAUGUUGUAUGGCAAAUGUCUAGAAUUUAUUCAUCUUGUUUAACUGAAACUUCAUGUUGAUUAGUAACUUCCCAUUUCCCCCUGCUCCCUAGUUUCCUUCUUACUAAAGUAAAGGUUUUUGUGGUUUUUUCAGGCCUUACUGUCUUGGAUGUUGUCUGAAAAUGUUUUUAUCAUGUUCUCAUUCUUGAGUGACAGUCCAACUGGACGCAGAAUUCCAGGGUAGUAGCAUUUCUGUCUUUUGCAGAUGCUGUCCCACAGACUCUGGCUUUUGUUGUUGUUGGCAUAAAUGUUGUAACUUGGAGGAUCUUCUGUCUUCAAAUUUGAUUAACAUUUAAAGUUUACCUCCGUGAUAUUCUGUAAUUUCACUAUGAUGUGCCUUGGUGUAGAUUUCUUUUUCUUGUGUUUUGGGGGUCUUGGUAUGUUCUUUUAUUCUGAGUAUGCAUAUCUUCUGAAAAAUCCUACAUGACUAUCUCUUCAAAUGCUGCCUUUCUCCCAUUAUAUCUAAGCUCUAGUUAUUGAUCUUCUAUUAAAUAUAUAGUAAUGUGCCACACAAUGAUGUUUCAGUUGAUGAUGGACCUCAUGUAUGACAGGGGUCCCAUAAGACUAUAGUGGAGCCAAAAAUAUUCCUGUCACCUAGUAACGUCUUAAUUAUCUUGACUCUGUGUAGGCCUAAGCUAAUGUGUAUGUUUGUGUCUUGGUGUUUAACAAAAAAAGCUUAAAGAGUAUAAUAAAUAAAAAAUAAAAAUUUGAAAUAGAAAAAACUUAUAGAAUAAGAGUGUAAAAAAUAUUUUUGGACAGCUGUAAAAUGCAUUUGUGUUUCAAGCUACAUGUUCCUACAAAAGAGUCAAAAAGUUUUAAAAAUUAAAAAGUUUAUAAAAUAAAAAACCUACAGUAAGCUAAGGUUAAUUUAUUGUUGAAGAAAGAAAAACAUAAACUUAAUGUAGCUAAAAGUCUACAGUAGUGUACAGUAAUAACCUUAGUUCUUCACAUUCACUCACCACUAACUCAUUGAUUCACCCAGAGAAACCUCCAGUCCUGC
rnacentral:lncRNA from 1 species